rnacentral:rRNA from 1 species
UGAACGCUAGCUACAGGCUUAACACAUGCAAGUCGAGGGGAAACGACAUCGAAAGCUUGCUUUUGAUGGGCGUCGACCGGCGCACGGGUGAGUAACGCGUAUCCAACCUGCCCAUCACUUGGGAAUAACCUUGCGAAAGUAAGACUAAUACCCAAUGAUAUCCCACGAAGGCAUCGGUAUGGGAUUAAAGAUUUAUCGGUGAUGGAUGGGGAUGCGUCUGAUUAGCUUGUUGGCGGGGUAACGGCCCACCAAGGCAACGAUCAGUAGGGGUUCUGAGAGGAAGGUCCCCCACAUUGGAACUGAGACACGGUCCAAACUCCUACGGGAGGCAGCAGUGAGGAAUAUUGGUCAAUGGGCGAGAGCCUGAACCAGCCAAGUAGCGUGCAGGAAGACGGCCCUAUGGGUUGUAAACUGCUUUUAUAAGGGAAUAAAGUGGGUCACGUGUGACUUUUUGCAUGUACCUUAUGAAUAAGGACCGGCUAAUUCCGUG